rnacentral:rRNA from 1 species
UACGUAGGGGGCAAGCGUUGUCCGGAAUCAUUGGGCGUAAAGAGCGUGUAGGCGGCUCGGUAAGUCCGCUGUGAAAGUCCAGGGCUCAACCCUGGAAUGCCGGUGGAAACUGUCGAGCUAGAGUCCGGAAGAGGCGAGUGGAAUUCCUGGUGUAGCGGUGAAAUGCGCAGAUAUCAGGAGGAACACCAAUGGCGAAGGCAGCUCGCUGGGACGGUACUGACGCUGGGACGCGAAAGCGUGGGGAGCAAACAGG